GAUAUUUUCUUAAAAUUCCUACAAAAAAGAUAAAAUUAAAAACUUGAAAAUGAAAUAGUUAUAAUCUUUACCUAUGAUAUUGUAAAUCUUUGGAAUUGAUAAGGAUAAAAUUGUCAAAAAAUAGGGUUUGUGCUUUUCGCGCCAAUAAUUUUAAUUUUUUUUUUCGUUAUUUCCGUUUACAAACUGUUCUUAAGGGUAAUAUUGUCUUUGCAUAGUCAACUAACGGUCAAUGUUAAAAUUAACUGACGGUAGAGGGUUUUUUACAAAUAAAUAAAUUCUCACUAUCUACUUGCAACAAGCCCAAAACUCAUAGGAGAUUUUUAAAAAUUAUCCAUUUUAAAUAUGUUCCAACAUAACCAUAGCCUUUUUUUUUAACAUUAACCCACUCCAAAAGUCAAUAAUGCCCACACGUCUUUUUCGCCAAAUAACUGCAGCUACUUUUAGGAACCUAAACUCUCACGCAACACACGUGGUUCGUCCGUUUAAUGAUGCAUGAGUUUGGUCUGAAAAUAACUCCAUAGAUUUGACUUGCGCCCUACGUGUUUUUUGAAUUGUCAUUUUUAAUUAGGCUGUCAAUUAAUUAACAUACACUCUUUCGUUUGUCCAUUGUCACUCCAUUCAUCGUACUUAAACAUUAAAUCUUCUCAAAAAGUUGUAAUUGUUUGUGAUUAGAACACGUGGAUUUGGAAUUUAAUCAUUAGUAUUACCCCAGCAUUAGCAUGAUAGACGUUUUGAAGAACUUUCUAGCUUUCUGUAUUUUUGCUUUAAUUGGAAUUUUUGAAAAUUUUAAAGUAGUGUACUGUGUGCAUGUAGUCAUCCCAUAUUAUUGAUCCAAAUUUUACACUGACGCACUUGUACAAUUAGGGGACUGGACUUCAUGAUAUCUCAAUCGUUUCAUAUAUUAUAAUUUUUAUUAUUAUUUUGAGUGACAACUCAAGGGAUUGUUAUAUGUUACAUAUAAUGUAUUAUAACAUGACCCGUAAUUAAGAUAUAUAAUUUAUAACUCAA
rnacentral:lncRNA from 1 species